AGGAUGAAGGCCCUACGGGUGGUAAACUGCUUUUAUUCGGGAAGAAAAAGUCUGUUUCCACAGACCUUGACGGUACCGAUUGAAUAAGGACCGGCCAACUCCGUGCCAGCAGCCGCGGUAAUACGGAGGGUCCAAGCGUUAUCCGGAUUCACUGGGUUUAAAGGGUGCGCAGGCGGGCAAGUAAGUCAGUGGUGAAAGCCUUCGGCUCAACCGGAGAAUUGCCUUUGAAACUACUUGGCUUGAGUGCAGCAGAGGUAGGCGGAAUGUAGCAUGUAGCGGUGAAAUGCAUAGAUAUGCUACAGAACACCGAUAGCGAAAGCAGCUUACCACACGGUAACUGACGCUGAGGCACGAAAGCAUGGGUAGCAAACAGGAUUAGAUACCCUGGUAGUCCAUGCCGUAAACUUUGAACACUCGGAGUUUCCCACCUAGUGGUAC
rnacentral:rRNA from 1 species